GAUGAACGCUGGCGGCGUGCUUAACACAUGCAAGUCGAACGGAAAGGCCCAAGCUUGCUUGGGUACUCGAGUGGCGAACGGGUGAGUAACACGUGGGUGAUCUGCCCUGCACUUCGGGAUAAGCCUGGGAAACUGGGUCUAAUACCGGAUAGGACGAUGGUUUGGAUGCCAUUGUGGAAAGUUUUUUCGGUGUGGGAUGAGCUCGCGGCCUAUCAGCUUGUUGGUGGGGUAAUGGCCUACCAAGGCGUCGACGGGUAGCCGGCCUGAGAGGGUGUACGGCCACAUUGGGACUGAGAUACGGCCCAGACUCCUACGGGAGGCAGCAGUGGGGAAUAUUGCACAAUGGGCGCAAGCCUGAUGCAGCGACGCCGCGUGGGGGAUGACGGCCUUCGGGUUGUAAACUCCUGUCGCUAGGGACGAGGCGUUUUUGUGACGGUACCUGGAGAAGAAGCACCGGCUAACUACGUG
rnacentral:rRNA from 1 species